GGUUGAUCCUGCCGGACCUGACUGCUAUCUGAUUGGUACUAAGCCAUGCGAGUCGUUGUACAAUACAAGGCGGACUGCUCAGUAACACGUAGUUAACUUAACCUAUGGAUGGGAAUAACCUCGGGAAACUGAGAAUAAUACCCAAUGGGCCACAGUGCCUGGAAUGGCCUGUGGUUGAAAUGAUUUAUCGCCGUAGGAUAGGACUGCGGCCUAUCAGCUUGUUGGUGAGGUAAUGGCCCACCAAGGCUAUAACAGGUACGGGCUCUGAGAGGAGGGGCCCGGAGAUGGGUACUGAGACACGGACCCAGGCCCUAUGGGGCGCAGCAGGCGAGAAACCUUUGCAAUGUGCGAAAGCACGACAAGGUUAAUCCGAGUGUCUCCUGCUAAAGGAGUCUUUUGUCAGUUGUAGAAUCACUGGUGAAUAAGGGGUGGGCAAGUUCUGGUGUCAGCCGCCGCGGUAAAACCAGCACCUCGAGUGGUCAGGAGGUUUAUUGGGCCUAAAGCAUCCGUAGCCGGUUGCAUAAGUUUCCGGUUAAUCUAUGCGCUUAACGUAUAGGCCGCCGAAAAUACUGUGCAGUUGGGAGUGGAGAGGUCCCGGACUCAUCGACGGUUAAUCCUUUGUCUU
rnacentral:rRNA from 1 species